rnacentral:rRNA from 1 species
UACAGAGGUCUCAAGCGUUGUUCGGAUUCAUUGGGCGUAAAGGGUGUGUAGGUGGCGCGCUAAGUCGGGUGUGAAAUCUCGGAGCUUAACUCCGAAACUGCAUUCGAUACUGCCGUGCUUGAGGACUGGAGAGGAGAAUGGAAUUCCCGGUGUAGCGGUGAAAUGCGCAGAUAUCGGGAAGAACACCCGUGGCGAAGGCGGUUCUCUGGGACGGUACUGACGCUGAGACGCGAAAGCGUGGGGAGCGAACAGG